GCCUGGGUGACUCAGUCAGUUAAGCGUCUGACUUCAACUCAGGUCAUGAUCUCACAGUUCGUGGGUUCGAGCCCCGCAUCAGGCU
rnacentral:tRNA from 1 species